UCCUGAGCAAUGCCACGCCCUCUGGUUCCUGUAAAAGCCAGAAACAGAAACUAACAGACAGUACAACUCUGCUGAUCCUGAAUACAUCAAGAUGAGUGCGAUCUACAACCUGCUUGCUAAACACCGACUGGAAACUUACUACGAAAAGUUUCGACAGUUAGGUGUGAACGAUGAAAGGGAUUUCAGUGAUGGUGUCACAGAAGAAGACCUAACUAACCUUGGACUAACACAAGUGGAAAAGAAUCGUUUUGCUUCAUUGAAGAAGGAGGUUUCCAGAUUCAGAGCACCAUCCCAAUCUGUUCCAUCAGUAGAGAAGUCAUUUAAAGCAUUCUCUCUGAUGUACACAUACCCCAAGUGUCCUGAA